rnacentral:rRNA from 1 species
GAUGAACGCUGGCGGCGUGCCUAAUACAUGCAAGUCGAGCGAAUGGAUUAAGAGCUUGCUCUUAUGAAGUUAGCGGCGGACGGGUGAGUAACACGUGGGUAACCUGCCCAUAAGACUGGGAUAACUCCGGGAAACCGGGGCUAAUACCGGAUAACAUUUUGAACCGCAUGGUUCGAAAUUGAAAGGCGGCUUCGGCUGUCACUUAUGGAUGGACCCGCGUCGCAUUAGCUAGUUGGUGAGGCAACGGCUCACCAAGGCAACGAUGCGUAGCCGACCUGAGAGGGUGAUCGGCCACACUGGGACUGAGACACGCCCCAGACUCCUACGGGAGGCAGCAGUAGGGAAUCUUCCGCAAUGGACGAAAGUCUGACGGAGCAACGCCGCGUGAGUGAUGAAGGCUUUCGGGUCGUAAAACUCUGUUGUUAGGGAAGAACAAGUGCUAGUUGAAUAAGCUGGCACCUUGACGGUACCUAACCAGAAAGCCACGGCUAACUACGUGCCAGCAGCCGCCGUAA